UAUAUAUAUAUAUAUAUAUAUAUAUGCAUGGAAGCACUUCUAAUCUUUUUAGUACUUAAAAUUUUGAUCAAAAGAGUUGUUUUCAAGUGCCAGAAAAGCUAGAAAUGCUCAGUGGAAACGCUUUGUAGAGUUAGUAACCUGUAAGACAAAAUUAAGCACUCACCAUGUAUUCUUGAAUUCAAUGGAUUUGCAGAUCUUAUGGAAGAAAAAGGCACUUCCGUAAGUGUAGGGAAGGGCGGGGUAAAUGUCCAUGCAGGAAAAGGCAAAUCCGGAGGCGGCACCACUGUCGGGGUGGGCAAAGGCACUGGGGUAAAUGUUCACGCAGGAAAAGGAAAACCUGGAGGUGGCACCACUGUUGGCGUCGGCAAAGGAGGAGUAUCUGUUAACGCAGGCCACAAGGGAAAGCAUGUAUAUGUUGGUGUUGGUAAAGGGAAAAGUAAAUCACCCUUCGAUUACAAGUAUGCUGCUACUGAGGAUCAGCUCCAUGAUGAUCCAAAUGUAGCUCUUUUCUUCUUUGAGAAGAACAUGCAACCUGGGACAAAGAUGGAGUUGCACUUCAUUAGGGAUGCAAAUCUAGCCACCUUCUUGCCUCGUCAAGUUGCCAACUCCAUACCUUUUUCAUCCAAAAAAUUCCCAGAAAUUCUGAACGAGUUCUCGAUAAAACCAGAAUCAGAAGAAGCUGAGACAAUCAAGAACACAAUCAGAGAGUGUGAGGAGCCUGGGAUUAAAGGAGAGGAAAAGUAUUGUGCAACUUCACUAGAAUCCAUGGUUGAUUUCAGCACCUCAAAGCUUGGAAAAGGUGUUCAGGUGAUUUCAACAGAGGUGGAGAAGGAAACCCCGGAGCAGCAGUACACAAUUACAACUGGGGUGAAGAAGCUGGCAGGUGACAAAGCUGUGGUGUGUCACAAGCAGAGCUAUCCCUAUGCAGUGUUUUACUGCCACAAGACUCAGACCACAAGGGCUUAUAUGGUUCC
rnacentral:lncRNA from 1 species